ensembl:rRNA 5S_rRNA 5S ribosomal RNA
GUCUAUGGCCAUACCACCCUGAAUGCGCCCGAUCUCAUCUGACCUUGGAAGCUAAGCAGGGUCAGGCCUGGUUAGUACUUGGAUGGGAGACCACCUGGGAAUACCGGGUGCUGCAGGCU